UUUAGGGUGGGAAUGGAAGAGAAUUUUACACCUCCUGGGAAUGGCAGUACAGGACAGUAAUCUGACAUGCUUAAAAGUACCUCACCAAACUGACCGUCCCUAGACCUAAAUACAAAAAAGAGUAAAGAGAUGGACAAGGCAUUCAGCCCGGUGGCAAACUCACGUGGCCCCAAAAGAGUGGCGAGGAAUAAGGGAAAAGGGUAUGUUGAUAAAUGCGAUACAUUUCAUCACGGGUCACACUCAGAGGAGGGACAGUCCCUCUGUUUAACUGGGAUACACGAAUAGGACAACUUUGAGCAAGGGGGAAGUUGAAGGCAGCUAGGAUACACAACACCAGGAAACAAAACCAAGGAAUAAAGCUGUCCAGAAUGGACAGGCUUCAGACACCAUAUUUGCUUCCAUCUCAGCUGUCUCAUCAUGAUCACAAGAUCAAUGCUUCUGUUCCAAGAAUCAUAUGAAAAAUUCCAUUGUAAGAAGAGGGGCCAUUCUUCUUGUUUUGAUACCAAGGAGACUCCUUAGUAAACAUUCUGCUGGCUCAAUUCCACCUCAGAGUCUACCUCCUAGGAAACCCAACCCAUGACGACUAUUGGAUAACACCUGUAAGUACUAAAAUAAGUACCGCUGUUAACCCAGCUUCUAUAUGCUACAAAAUUAUCUUUCAAAAAUGAAGAAAAACAAAGAUGUUUUCAGAUGGACAAAAGCUAAGAAUCGGUGUGUUGUGCUAUAAGAAAUACUUAAGGUAAUUCUUAAGUGGGAGGUGAAUGACAUCAGAUGAUAACUUGGAUUCAAUGGAAGAAAUUAAGAGCACAGGAAAUGGUACAUUUAGGGGUAAACAUGAGAAAAUACACACAUUUUCUUUUCUUUUCUUUUUUUUAAGAUUUUAUUUUUAAGUAAUCUCUAUACCCAAAGUGGGGCUUGAACUCCUAACUCUUAGAUCAAGAGUUACAUGCUCCACCAACUGAACCAGCCAGGGGCCCCUUGUACCCAUUUUCUUAAUUUCUUGAAAAAGCAUAGGAUUGCAUAAUGCAGCUUAUAACAUAGUAUUGUGGGUUUUAUAACGUAAGUACCUAUAGUAGAUAUGACAAAAAUCUCACCAAGUUGGGAGAGUGGUAAAUAAAACUAUGAUUAUUAAAAGGUUGCUAUAUUUUAUGUGAAGUAGUACAAUAUAAACUCUAAGUAGAUUGUGGUAAUAUAAAGAUGUAUAUUGAAGUCCUUGGAGUAACUACUAAAAAUAAUGGAAGAUAUAUAGCUAAAAAACCAACAAAGAAAUCAAAAUGGAAUACUCUAAAGUAUUCCAACAACCCAAAAGAAGGAAAGAAGAAAGGGAAAAAAUGAAGUGGACAAACAAAACAAACUGAAUGCAUUAUUAAUGUAUAGUAAUGAUUGUGGGAGCUAGGUUUCUUAUCAUCAGAGAAGGAAAUUAUCAAUGUAGAAAGUAGAGUCAACUAGUGGUAUUGGAAUUUACUUAUAUAAGUAAACACACAAAUAUGAAUAUAAUAUAUGUAUGUGUAUGUGGGUAUCCGUAGAUAUCCGUAGAUACACACAACUAUAUUAUUUCUAGCUGUGACCACCGACAAGGUUUGAAAACAUCAACUAUGAGCGUAUUUAGAGGCCAAGUCUUGAUUUCUGAAAAUGUUUCUCAGUGUAAAAGAACCAAGCCUUUUUGUUUAGAAAUGACUGAUUUGAGGACUGGGGUAGGGAAUGUACAAAAUGAGCCUGGAACAUUCUGUGCCCCAAAGUAAGGAAGUCCCUGAGGAGUGAUGGGGAUCUGUCAAGGGCCAUACAAUCCAGCUUGACUGGGCUUCCCACCGGUGAAAUAUGGAACACUGUGACUUCAAAAUAAAUAAUAGUAACAAAUUGUAAGCCAUUGAAUAAUACAAGAAUUCAUGAGUCCACAGUUGCUCUGAGUAAAUAUGUGAGUAAAUUGAAAUUUAAGUGAAGGAACAGAUAUCUACAUAGUCUUUACCUCUUCAUGAAGCACUUCUUGAUUACAGAGGGAAAAAGUAAGUUGAGAGUGGGAGAAGCCUGCCAGACACCAGAUCUUAAUCAAAUGAGCCACAGCAACAUCCCUAGUAAUGGGACAAACAAAUCAGAACCACCUGCUAGAACACAAUGAGAAGAACACACAAAACAUCACUUCCGUGAUAACUCCUGUCGAAGAUUCAUAAGCUGCAUCUAAUCAUGAGGAAACAGCAGAGAAACCCAAACUGAAGGACAUUAUACAAAAUAACUGUUUUGUAAUCUUCAGAAUUGUCAAGGUCAUGAAAGUCAAGAAAGGACCAAGGAAUUAUUCCAGAGAGAAGGUUACAAAAGAAACAUGACAAGUAAAUACAGUGUAUUAUCCUGGACCGGCUCCUUUUGCUAUUAAGAUUGUUACUGGAACAACUGGUGAAACUUAAAUGGGUAGAAGAAUUAAAUAGUAAUGUAUUAAUGUUAAUUUCCUCACUUUGAUGAUGGUGUUGUGAUUAUGCAGGAGAAUAACCUUGUCUUUAAGAAGUAUACACUCAAGUAUUUGAGAGUAAGGAAAAUGAUAUUAGUAACUUAUCUCAACUGGCUUAGGAGGAAAAGUACUGUGCACUGUACCUGCAACUUUUCUGUAAGUUUGAGCUUGUUUCCAAAAUAAACAAAUACCCACUUAGGAACAAAACCCACAAGAUAGCAUUAGAAUGGUUAAAAUAAAUUAGAAAGGAUGAUAGAAAUGUUGAGAGGAGGGUUCAAAGCAACCAGUACUCUCAUAAAUGCUGGUGUAAUGUGAAAUUAUAAAAUCAUGUUGGAAAAUGUUUGGUAGUUUCGUAUAAGGUUAUCCCUUCCUUUGAGCCAGCAAUCCCACUCCUGGGUAUGUACCCAAGAGAAAUGAAAAUGUAUGCCAACACAGAUACUUGGACAGGAAUACUUGUGGCAGCUCUCUUCAUAAUAGCCAAAAUCUGGAACAAAAGAUCUCUCAGUAGGAAAAUGGAUUUUAAAUUGUUGAUAUAAUUGUACAAUGUAAUAUUACUCUGACCAAAAUGUACUAUUUAUACAUGAAAUAGUAUGAGUGAAUUUCAUAGACGUUAUGCUGAGUGAACAAAACUGGAGUACAUACUGUAUGAUUCCAUUUAUGGAGAGUUUUAGAGGAGGCAGAACUACUUUAUGAUGCAAAAACUAAGAACAGUUACUGCCUCUGGUGGGAUUAACUGCAAAAGGACACUAGAGAUAUUUGGGGGGUAUGUAGAUGUUCUACAUCUUGUUGGAGUGUGGGUUACCGAGGUACAUAAAUUAAUCUAAAUUGUAGACUGUUGACAUAGACAAUCCUAAGGAAUCUACAAAAAAAAAAAAAAAGAUGAGAAUUUAGCAAGGUUGCAAUAUACAAAUUUACUAUUCAAAAAUGAAUUUUAAUUUUAUAUAGUAGCAGCGAACAAUUGGAAAUGAAAAAGAAUUUUUUCAGGGAGAGAGUGCGUGCAUGAGCAUUGGGGGAGAGGCAGAGGAA